rnacentral:rRNA from 1 species
AUUGAACGCUGGCGGCAGGCCUAACACAUGCAAGUCGAGCGGAUGAAGGGAGCUUGCUCCUGGAUUCAGCGGCGGACGGGUGAGUAAUGCCUAGGAAUCUGCCUGGUAGUGGGGGAUAACGUCCGGAAACGGGCGCUAAUACCGCAUACGUCCUGAGGGAGAAAGUGGGGGAUCUUCGGACCUCACGCUAUCAGAUGAGCCUAGGUCGGAUUAGCUAGUUGGUGGGGUAAAGGCCUACCAAGGCGACGAUCCGUAACUGGUCUGAGAGGAUGAUCAGUCAAACGGGAACUGAAACACGGUCCAGAAUCCUACGGGAGGCAGCAGGGGGGAAUAUUGGACAAUGGGCGAAAGCCUGAUCCAGCCAUGCCGCGUGGGUGAAGAAGGUCUUCGGAUUGUAAAGCACUUUAAGUUGGGAGGAAGGGCAGUAAGUUAAUACCUUGCUGUUUUGACGUUACCAACAGAAUAAGCACCGGCUAACUUCGU